GCCAUGUGCACCUGUAAUCCCAGCUACUCGGGAAGCUGACUGGUGUGCUAUUGUGAUCAUGUGUCCACACUAAGUUUAGCAUCAAUAUGGUGACCUCACAGGAGCAGGGGAUCACCAUGUUGCAUAAGGAGGGGUGAACCAGCACAGAUUGGAAACAUAGCAAGUAAGAAUUCCCAAGAUGAUCAGGAGCGGGAUUGUGUUUUAGGAAUAGCCACUGCCCUCCAGUCUGGGCAACAU
rfam:Otolemur garnettii contig102065, whole genome shotgun sequence.